CAUGCCGGACAAUACCGAUCGCAUCGCAACCGUUACACGGUAAUGCAGAUAACCGUUUAAAUAUUAAUCAAUGUACUCGCGGAAAACGCCGCUGUGGUUGUACAGCGCGCGCGUGAUAAUCUACGGGCAAUGGUAAUAACAAUAAUACGUUCGCGCAUCCACCACGCACCCCGUAAACCGAUUUGCAUUCGCCGUUCUCACGUUCGGCUCCGGUACACCUGUGCGCAUUAACCCGCGCCUACCCGGUGAAUUACAGAUCGGCCGUCGAUUGUCAACGUUUUCAUAAC